GACAUGGUAGUUGAGUGGGUAAAGCGCUUAUUGCUGUUUACUCUGUACAGAAUAUCGAUGGUUCGAAUCCAUCCCGGAGUAAGUUA